CGGCGGUCAAGCUGGACUUCCUGGCCCACCUGAACUGGGACCUGAGAUCCGGAUGGCUCCCAUCCAGAGGCCGGCCCACUCUGCAGGAGUCUGGAAUCUUAACGGAUGAGGAGCGAAAAAAAAAACAGCCACAGCUCCUGCUUCUUGUCCAGCUGUGGAAUUUCCCCUCAAGCCACAAGACCGAUCAGGAGGCGGGACAGCACCAGAGCUUCACAGAGAUCUUCCAGUGAAUCGUGUCCAGCCAGCACGGCCGAAACUCUUCAUGAAGUCAGUAACUCCUCACGAUUGAGCGUUCCAACGUCCCCAUCCAGUGGUUCAACGGAAACACACAUCCCUACAAAAACAUGGAUAAGUGUAUUCAUUUCAUGAUUCUUUUAAAAAUAUAACUUUCAUAGAACCGAGAUUCAGGGACAACUGUUUGAUUGAUUUCAAUUAUUUGUCUAAUUUUACUAUAAAUUGUGAUUUCAGUUUAUAAAAUUCACAAAAACAGGAUUUCAGAAAAUGAGAAUCCUUCAUUUCUUCUCAGUUUUUGCACAAAAAUUAAAGCAAAAAUUUUGAUCACAUCUAAUAAAUAAAAAUAAUAAUGUUGUAUUUCUUUUACUUAUGCACAAAACUUAUUAUAUAAAUUAUAAAUCAAGAACACACACGCACAAAUCGGAGUGAGACUGUUUUCUCUCCAUAAAAUAAAGUAUUUUCAAAAUAAUUCGACCAUCUUCAAUCCUUCAGUGAUCCUGCUGGGAGAUGAAAUCUGUAUCCAGAUCCUCAGAAUCACGACGUCUUCUACAACAUCCUGAUCGACCGAUGGAGUUUAGUCUAGUUCCAUUUAUUUAGUUCAUUUUCAACAACAAUGUCAUAAUAUUCUCGUGUUGGUGAAAAUGAAAAGGCACAGAAACAAGAAAACUUAUCGUCUCUGCCCCAUUUAACUAAAUCAGUCAAGCUUUUUUAACCAAAUCUCUUUGUAAUGUAACAUUAAUGUAUCAACUGUGAAAAACCAAAGAAAAGCAGAUAAAUAACAAACACAAAAGCAACAAACAAGAAAAUCAACCAAAUACCUCAAUCUUUAUUUGUAUUUAAUCCGUUCCCAACGACCUUAUAAUUCAUAAUGUGUAUUUGUUUUUUCAGUUUUUGGACUCUUAUUGAUUUUUCAGGCUCAUUCCAUAAUCUGAUCAAAACACAUUUUCCUUCAUUUUUGUUCUGAUUUUGUUGAUUUUGUUGAUUUCAUGUCCUUUUAGGCUGUUUUGCUCUUUCUUUUUUCAGACUUUUUGUUUGUUAUGUUGCAGACUUCUGUUGGAUUAAAGAAACAAAUCAGAGUUUAGAACAGCCCAGAUCACGACUGACUGAUUGGAGAAUUCUCUCUGGACCUCCAGCGGUUUGGGUUCUGCUCUUCCUCCAAACUCUUGGGCCGAUUCCCACAUGAAAGACAGACUUUACAGUAGACGGUGUAAUAACGUGCUCCACAUGCAUUUGGUUCAGCAGCUGGACGGCGGUGCAGAGGAAAGCUCAUGAGAAGCGCCCAAAAGGUUGUCGGCUGCCCCCUCCCCACCCUGGAAACCCCCAGAGCUCCUGCUCCCUCAACAGAGCCCAGAAGAUCAUCAGAGAACGUCACACCCGGACACCCCCGGUUUGAUCUUCAGGAGGACUCUACGAUGUUCUUCAGUCUUUUGAUAACCCACGGUCUUCAUCUUCUCCUGACACAUUUUGUCCUUCGAUGAGACUUUCUGUGGAUCUGGUCGGACUCACAGCAGCUUCCUUUGUCAUGAACUUUAGUGUCUGACCCAGACUAUGGAGGGAUCAGUGAUGGUCUCCUGGAUGGAAGUCUGAAGUCUUCCCAACACUGAACCAGUUUGAUGACACCUGGAGAAUCUGUGCUUUGAGUUCAGUCGAUGAUCAGCUGGUGAAACUCAGUUUAAAUCAAUGAUGUCCUGCAGAUUUUGAGCAGAUUUCUCUAGUUUUCUGAAAUCCUGUUUUUAUGGUUUAAUUAGAUGGAACUUCAAUUUAAGUCAAAAAACAAACACAUAAAUACUAUAAAUCAAUGAAACUGUGGAUCCUGAUUUUAAAGUUUAACUUCUAAAUGGAAUUAUGGAAAUUAAUACAACUUUUCAUCAUAUUCUAUUUUUGGAAAUGGUUUGUAGACUCAGUUUAUCUGUUUCUGCUGUUGAUCUGCAUCACCUGAUCAGAGUUCUUUUGUCAAUAUUAAUGUGAUUAGUCAAAUAAAGUCCUCUUGGCU